rnacentral:rRNA from 1 species
ACAGGUGCUGCAUGGCUGUCGUCAGCUCGUGUUGUGAAAUGUUGGGUUAAGUCCCGCAACGAGCGCAACCCUUAUCCUUUGUUGCCAGCGGUCCGGCCGGGAACUCAAAGGAGACUGCCAGUGAUAAACUGGAGGAAGGUGGGGAUGACGUCAAGUCAUCAUGGCCCUUACGACCAGGGCUACACACGUGCUACAAUGGCAUAUACAAAGAGAAGCGACCUCGCGAGAGCAAGCGGACCUCAUAAAGUAUGUCGUAGUCCGGAUUGGAGUCUGCAACUCGACUCCAUGAAGUCGGAAUCGCUAGUAAUCGUAGAUCAGAAUGCUACGGUGAAUACGUUCCCGGGCCUUGUA